rnacentral:rRNA from 1 species
UACGAAGGGGGCUAGCGUUGUUCGGAAUUACUGGGCGUAAAGGCCAGUAGGCGGCCAACUAAGUCGGAUGUGAAAUCCCCAGGCUCAACUUGGGAACUGCAUCCGAUACUGGAUGGCUUGAAUUCGGGAGAGGGAUGCAGAAUUCCAGGUGUAGCGGUGAAAUGCGUAGAUAUCUGGAGGAAUACCGGUGGCGAAGGCGGCAUCCUGGACCGACAUUGACGCUGAACGGCGAAAGCUAGGGGAGCAAACGGG